CAACAUAUCUGGUGUAGCUGUCAGGAUUCAGAGCAACCUCCUCACACCCUGGACCACCUAGUGAUCCCUCCUGGACUCAGCACUCAGCACCAGCACAAACCUACUGUGUUUCUCUGUCUCCACAUCUUUCCCUGAGUACAAAAGGUAGCCCUGCGUGAGUAGGCAUCUUCCAUCAUCAGAGAUCUCCAACUGAAGCUGACCUGCAGCCAGUCACCUGGUUCUUCAGACCAGGACAAGAAAUUGAAACUCAGUUUAAAAAGAUCACUCAAAAGGCUAAAUGGCUACAAGAUGACCCAUGGUUGGAAAGACAGACCCCUUAUAUGAUUUAUUUGACUGGUUACCUUCAGAGAGAGAUUACCCGGGAAUGAGCCUUCCUAGCAAUAUGGGGAAAAGCUACGUUUAAAAUGUUGAUUAUCAAUGCUUUCAGAAGAGGAAGAUCUCAAUCAAAAAGGGGAAAUGAGAAGAAAAGUAGCUCAGAGAUGUCUGAGCUAUGUGAGGUAUGCAAAAUGUAUCAGAUCCAGAGAGACAUGAGUAUUGAAAGCCAACUUGUAACUACUGCUAAUCAAAGCAUAUAUUCAUGGCAACUUGAAUCUGUGUCUCCUUGGUUGCAGUCCCCAAAUUUGGCCCAAAUAAAUUCUCGAC
rnacentral:lncRNA from 1 species